CUCCAGUUAGUCUAGUGGUAAGGCCUUGGAUCACCAAUUCGGAAACAACGGGUUCGAUUCCCGUUCUGGUCG
rnacentral:tRNA from 1 species